rnacentral:rRNA from 1 species
UUGAACGCUGGCAGCAGGCCUAACACAUGCAAGUCGAGCGGUAGAGAGGUGCUUGCAUCUCUUGAGAGCGGCGGACGGGUGAGUAAUGCCUAGGAAUCUGCCUAGUGGUGGGGGAUAACGUUCGGAAACGGACGCUAAUACCGCAUACGUCCUACGGGAGAAAGCGGGGGAUCUUCGGACCUCGCGCCAUUAGAUGAGCCUAGGUCGGAUUAGCUAGUUGGUGAGGUAAUGGCUCACCAAGGCGACGAUCCGUAACUGGUCUGAGAGGAUGAUCAGUCACACUGGAACUGAGACACGGUCCAGACUCCUACGGGAGGCAGCAGUGGGGAAUUUUGGACAAUGGGCGCAAGCCUGAUCCAGCAAUGCCGCGUGCAGGAUGAAGGCCUUCGGGUUGUAAACUGCUUUUGUACGGAACGAAACGGUGAGCUCUAAUACAGUUUGCUAAUGACGGUACCGUAAGAAUAAGCACCGGCUAACUACGUG